rnacentral:rRNA from 1 species
GAUGAACGCUGGCGGCGUGCUUAACACAUGCAAGUCGAACGGAAAGGCCCAAGCUUGCUUGGGUACUCGAGUGGCGAACGGGUGAGUAACACGUGGGUGAUCUGCCCUGCACUUCGGGAUAAGCCUUGGAAACUGGGUCUAAUACCGGAUAGGACCACAUUUUGGAUGGUGUGGUGGAAAGUUUUUCGGUGUGGGAUGAGCUCGCGGCCUAUCAGCUUGUUGGUGGGGUAAUGGCCUACCAAGGCGUCGACGGGUAGCCGGCCUGAGAGGGUGUACGGCCACAUUGGGACUGAGAUACGGCCCAGACUCCUACGGGAGGCAGCAGUGGGGAAUAUUGCACAAUGGGCGCAAGCCUGAUGCAGCGACGCCGCGUGGGGGAUGACGGCCUUCGGGUUGUAAACUCCUGUCGCUAGGGACGAAGCGUUAUGUGACGGUACCUGGAGAAGAAGCACCGGCUAACUACGUGC